GCGUCGGGGAGAGGCCCGGGGCGAACGGAGCUGGGCGUCCGGGCCCCCCGCCAUGGAGGGCAUGGACGUGGACCUGGACCCCGAGCUCAUGCAGAAGUUCAGCUGCCUGGGCACCACCGACAAGGACGUGCUCAUCUCCGAGUUCCAGCGGCUCCUCGGUUUCCAGCUCAACCCGGCCGGCUGCGCCUUCUUCCUGGACAUGACCAACUGGAACUUACAAGCAGCAAUUGGCGCUUAUUAUGACUUUGAGAGCCCAAAUAUCAGUGUGCCCUCAAUGUCCUUUGUUGAAGACGUCACCAUAGGAGAAGGGGAGUCUAUACCUCCUGAUACUCAGUUUGUAAAAACAUGGCGGAUCCAGAAUUCUGGGUCAGAGGCCUGGCCUCCAGGGGUUUGUCUUAAAUAUGUCGGGGGAGACCAGUUUGGACAUGUGAACAUGGUGAUGGUGAGAUCACUAGAACCCCAAGAGAUUGCAGAUGUCAGUGUUCAGAUGUGCAGUCCCAGCAGAGCAGGAAUGUAUCAAGGACAGUGGCGGAUGUGCACUGCUACAGGACUCUACUAUGGAGAUGUCAUCUGGGUGAUUCUCAGUGUGGAGGUGGGUGGACUGUUAGGAGUAACGCAGCAGCUGUCAUCUUUUGAAACGGAAUUCAACACACAGCCACAUCGCAAGGUAGAAGGAAACUUCAACCCGUUUGCCUCUCCCCAAAAGAACCGACAAUCAGAUGAAAACAACUUAAAAGACCCUGGGGGUUCCGAGUUCGACUCGAUCAGCAAAAAUACAUGGGCUCCUGUUCCUGACCAAACCGAGCAAGAUCAGGAUAGACUGUCACAGAACUCUGUAGAUCUGUCCCCCAGCAGUCACGCAAACAACUUAUCAGUAGUGACUUACAGUAAGGCAACAGGAAGUGAGCUGUGUCACCGCACAUAGCUUGAGCAUGGGAGACCUCAAAGGCCACCCCCACAGUGAUACUUCUUCCAACAAGGCCACACCUACUCCAACAGUCAUACCUCCUAAUAGUGCCACUCCCUUUGGGGACCAUUUUCUUUCAAACCACCACACUCUGUUGUCCUGGAACUAACAGAAAUCUGCCUGCCUCUGUCUCUCAAGUGUUACAAUUAAAGGAAAUCACCCCCUUGCCCAGACUUUUUUUUUCUUCAAGUUUGUGUGUGUGUGUGUAGUUAGUUAUAAGCAGCCCUAUCUGGAACAGUACCAGAUGCUCCUAACCACUGCACCAGCUCCCCGGCAUUCCAGUUAGCUGACUUUUAACUGUUCAUAGGUAUUGGAGAAGAGAAAUCCCUCUGGUUCACAGUAGUGAAGAAAGUGAUGUCUUGAUGGGUGGUGGUGCACACCUUUAAUCCCAGCACUUGGGAGACUGAGGCAGGCAGAGCUCUGACUUCGAGGACAGUCAGGGCUACACAAAGAAACCCUGUCUCAAAAAACCAAAAAGAAAGAAACUGGUGUCUUGAUGGAUAGUGGAUUUGAAAUGAAUUCAAGGAAAACUACAUACAAGAAAGUUCAGAGGACUCUGGCCAGCCACCCAGCUCUGGUGAGUUGUGCUUUUAAAAGGGUGAGGGGAAUUUCCAAAGGAGAUCUUGAGGUCUGUCAAAGGAGGGUCAUUUUGUGAAAGGACACAGCACAGUGAAGCAGUUCCCACAGUGCUGCUUGGUACAGCAAGAUUGAACCAGCACGGCUGACUGGGACAAGAAGAGAAUCAACUUACUUUCUUCUCAGUUAUGAUGGCUUGAGGGGCAGCAGUUGACAGACGAAGGAACCUGAGUGGAGUCCUAGAGGAAGCAGGCAGAGGCUAGGUGGUGUUAGAGCUUCUGCUUAGUGGUUGGUGUCCACAUGGUCAGACCCUUGGGUGAGUGCCUCUUCUGAUUGGUUUCCUUCUUUCUUACUCUAGGAGAUGCCAGAGAGAGCUCUGUUCCUGGCAUCUCACCUGGAUUUUAGCAUACUUACAGUUAGCCGAGGUCAUGACCAUAAAUCCCAAAAGCAUUCUGGAGUCUUUACUGAGGGGGAAUCAAACUCGGCCAGAACCCUCCAUCUGCUUAUAGAACUUCCCUUAGUGGUUUGGUUUGUUGGUGGGGGCAGGCAGGGGGCAGGGUUUCUAGCUCAAGGCUGCUUUAUAUGGGCUACACACGCCGUCUACCUGCUGAGCCUAACUAACCCUGGCCCUCAAAUGGUGCUGAAGCUGCAGUAUUUGAGUUUGACUCCUUUUGGCAACUUAGUUAACAAGAUCAGGAGAAGGUUGAAGGCAGCAGCUGUUGUGGGAACUGGGAUGGGCAGAGGAGAGAAGAGGGGUGUGUGGGUGAGCAGAGGAAGGGUGCAGGGGUGGAGGAGAGUGAGCAAAACUAUGUGGGUGACAGGUCGGAUAGGGUGGCAUGGACAUGGAAAGGUUGGAUGGAUAGGUGGACAGACAGGUUCCUUGGCAGCAACAAAAGUUAGUUAAAACCAAUUGGGAAAAUUGUUAUAGAGAUAAGAAUAAAAAGUAGUUUUACAAGGCUUUUAAAAGACAGAGAACACUCUCAUAACUGAGUUAACCUUUUAAGCAGUUUGACAGGAUCAGGAGGACAUGACACAAGGCUACCAUAGUCCUCAUGCCUAAAGCAGGCUUCCCGCACUUACCCUUGACUAGCAUGUAGGUACAUCUUUGAACUUGGAGGCAUCUUCAGAAGUUCCCACCUGCUUGAAGUAGCCCUGCCAUGCCAUCAACAAGCCCCAUGAGCAGUACUUGAGUAUUUUGACCCUGCUGGUUGUCCUCAUUAUCCCAACAUGUAAUUCCAUUUCUCACUAAUGGGAGUCUUGGAUUCCAUCAUGACAUUCUCUGGUCCUGGAUGGCCAGCCCCUCCUUCACACUUUGUGCAGUCUGGGAUCAGGGCAGAACUUCUUGUGAAACUUGUACUCUGCUGUGUUUGCAUUCAGUACCUGGAAACCACACACAAGGAACACUGGGCAGGCAAAUCGAAGAGGAGGGCUUGUAGUGUUAUGUGCUACCAUUGGUGCAUGGGGGUGGGAGAUUUCUUGCGUGCAACUAAUGAUCCUGUGUGGGUCUCCUCCCCCAUCCCCCCAUGCAGGGUUUCUCUGUGCUACUCUGGCUGUCCUGGAACUCACUCUGUAGACCAGGCCACCUGCCUCUGUCUCCUGAGCAGUGCUGGGAUUGAAGGUGCGAGCCACCAUUGCCCAGCCUGACAGGACCUUUUACUUACUUACUCACUCACUCACUCACUCACUCACUCACUCACUCACUCAUUCAUUCAGGGCCUUUUAUUUAUUUAUACCAAAUCAUGACUAAAGCAAAAUAAAGACAGGUGUAUGAAAGUCUCCGUGUUGUGGUGGUUUAUCUAAGCAAGUUUUCAUAUGGGGGAAAGGACUGAGCCCAAAAGGUCUUGGUGACAUGUCCUUUUUGAAAGGAAUUUUGGCCUCCUCUUGACCCCUCCCUCAGAUAAAAGACAAGAGCUGAGUCCCCAGCACAGCUGUCCCUUUAUUCAUUCUUAGUGCAAGAUGUAAAGGAUUGGUGGGAUGGGCAGAGCGCAAUAAUGGCUGCUGUGAAAACGGGGACUGAGAGGAGAGACAAAAGGAAGCAAAGCUCGUUCUAGUGUAUGUUGCUACACAAUUAAUGUGGCUUUCCUGGUGACUACUAGUGACUAUUAGUACAGAAAUGCAAAACAGGAAACUUCUGAAUACCAACAGGAUUCCUCACGUGGGAAGUUCUGUAUCAGGAACCUUUGUUUUGUACAAAAAUUGUCAAACACUGCAUAAAAUUACCUUUAAGAGUCAUUCAUACAUGAGAUAUAAAUAAAUGGUGGUUAGUCUGGGUUCCAUCCCUCAACCAGUUCAUUAUGUACAUAGAGAUAUUCCAAAGUCUGGUUGGGGAGGGGGAGUCCCUAACAUUUCUCAAGAGAAGCAUUUCAUAUUCUGAUACUAAGUGUACACCCCUUUUGGCCAAGAGUGAUUUUUGGUUUUGUCUUUUUGGGUUUUAUUUUUCCACCAUGUUUCAGGACUCCUGUAUUUUCAGGUGCCCCUCACAGAAGACACUCACAGGCAAGCCAUAACUCUUGCUGCCCCACAGGGACAGCAUCAUGAAGACUAUGUCAGAGACAGUUGAUGUUGGGUUUGCUUUGCCAACUUGCUUGGAAAUACUAGAUAUUUUCCUCAAAUAUUCCUAGGGCUUGACCCUGGACAGCACCUGUGGGGCAUGCUACCACCAUGCUGCACCUCAGCAGCCACAUGCUAGAUCUCACAUUGUUCUUGGAAAAGAAGGAUGAGUUGGAGUGAACUUGUUUAUACAUAAUAAAGUAUUUUAGAAAUACUGUUUGUGGUUUACAGUAGUUAACGUUGCAUUAUGGACAGAUUAUGGUUGGCUUCUCCUCUUCCUACAAGCAAAAGCUGGAGCUCAGGAGGCAGCUCAGUGGGUAAAAUGCACACUUCAGGGGCAUGUGAAACUAACCUGAUAUCCCAAGCACCCACAUGAAAACUGGGUGCAGAGGUGUGCUGAGUCCUGGUGCUGGAGAGGUGGAGACACCAUGAUCCAUCCGUAGGGCUUCCAGACCAGUCCAGAUAGAUUGGUGAGAUGCAGGGUAUGUUACUAGACGCCAGCAGUGUGUGCUGUGCUGCAGACCUCUACUGGGCUGGGCUUGGUGGUGGCCAUCAGAAUCUGUCCUGAGAUGUGGAUGAGCCUUGCAUCCGGAAUGUCUCUCCCCAUGCCUCGGGUAGGAAAAGCACUUCCCACGUGGCCUCCUGUCACAGGCCGUUUAACACAUUGUUCUUGGAACUUUUGGCAGAUCAUCUUCUGCCACUGGUGUAGUGUUGCCUGUGGUCUGCUUAUGACACACACAAUCCUGCAUGCAGGGAGUCUCUGUCACAACAUGAUUGAUUUUGAAACAGCUGGUUCCUUCCUUCCUUGAAGUGAUGGUAGUUAAAACUUGGGAGGAGCCAGGCAGUAGUGGUGCAUGCUUUUAAUUCCACCACACUUGGGAGGCAGAGAGCUAGUUCCAGGACAGGCACUAAAGCUACAAAGAAACCCUGGGGGGGGAAGGAACACACCUUGUUCCUCAAGCCCCUCUCUGCACCAGUUAAUUAGCAGCUCUUUGGUAUACUACUCUCCAUUGGAAGGAAAAUUUCAUGGCUUUUUCUUUCCAGAAGACAUAGAACCUCAGUUGUUAGAGAGCCAAGAGUAACCAUAAAUUAAACCAGUUAGAGUCACGCUGGGUGGUCUUGAGGGUCCCACAGCAGGUGGAGUUCUGAGAACGCACAUCUUUAUCCCUGCCCAGUGCAUAAAUGGGGGGGCUGUCUGAAAGUCAUACUCCCUUAUUACAUAUUCCUAGACAAGCCAUGGGCCUGGGAAGGCUGCAUGCACUGUGGAGAAGGCUGGGGAGGUUCUUCAUCGAAAACAAGCACUGCUUGCUCUUCCUUUCCCUGUGAGUGUUUGUGUUGGUUCCAGUCUAGCUGCCUCCAUGGGUCGUGGGUCGUUCUGGGCGAGUAGCUGCUGCUGGGAAGUGCUGAGUCAAGGCAGCUUGCCUUCAAUUCUGUGUUCUUGCUGGUGCAGGGGAGCCUCUCACCGAAGCCCAUGAGAUGGAGUCUGAGAGCUCGUGCUUGGCAGAGCCACCACGGGCUGCAGCUGUGGCUGCCAAAGUAGUUGCAGCCUUCAUUUGCCUACUGGAGACGUGACUGGUACAAGGGCCCGCAGGCAUGUGGCAUCCUGUCUUUCUAAACACCAAACAACUUGUUGGCUCUCCAGGGCUGUGCCCUUGAUCAGGUUAACUCCUCUUCACGUACUGGAGAAUCGUGUCUGUCGGGUGCUACUGCAGCACCUGGUGAAUAGUUGAUGCCCCUUCUGUGUCUGCCUUCCCUUCCUCCCCAUCUAUCUUCUCUGUUGGUUAUGCAUGCACGCGCGCGCGCGCGCGCGCACACGCACACACACACACACACACACACGAGUGAUAUUGUCAAGCAGGUAGAGACAUACCAUACUUCUGUUAUUCAGUACUUUCCAAUGGGAGAAAAAUCGUUACUUCAUGUUUCCAUUCUUAGUAACUCUGACCUCAGAUGGUAUUUUUCUUGGGAUACUGGUUUUCAGCUUCUUAGCCAGAUACUGUGUAUCAGCUCUCAGAACCUGGAAAAUGGAAGAGUCAGGUGGGGUGGGGGGAACAGACCCAACCCUCUCUCCUAGGACUUCACAUCUAGCACCAUUGGUAACUGGAGGGUUGUACGUCUUCCACUAGUCCCCCCUCCUGGAGCCUCCACAACGCCGACAGAUUGAUGGAUGGCCCAGCACUUGUGUCCCCUCACACAGAUCAACAGAACCAGCUUUAGAAGGGCCUGACUUACAGGGAUCUGAGAUUCCGGGUGUCCUGAGCAGUACCUGUCCUUGUUCAGUUACCAGUUCACCACACCUGAGGGCCAGGCACCACCCUGGGACAUAAAGUUGUCAUCCUGGCUCCGCUGUAGCCACAAUUUUGUUAAAGAAUGGCCCUAAUUGUUUAAAGCACUCUGACCUUUGAAAGCUCUUUGUCCGCAUUCCAUCCGACUGGUGGGGGUGUCCCAUUUCUUCCCGCUGUGGGUCAUACUUAGAUUAAGGUUCUUUGGGUGGAUACCAAGCACCUGUUAGCUCCCUCUGAUAGGUUUGGGGUUCUUUGGAUGAACACUAAGCACAGGUUAGCUCCUUCUGACCACUCAUGCGAUGGCCUGGUCUCGAGUGUUCUCCAUAGUGGAGUACAGAACCCUGGUGUAGCUGUCCACUAGUUACCAUUGCCCUUUCAGGGCUUUGCUUUGAGCGAGUCCACCCAAGGAAAGGGGAGACAUGUCAGUCAUGCUUCAGCUCAGUCCUGUGGUGGUUCUGGUGCUAACUUACUGUGGAGUUUGCUCUUCCUCCUCUUUCUUUUGCGGGGAGGGUUGAUUUUUCUUCAAGACAAGGUUUCUCUGUAGCACUGGCUGUCCUGGAACUCUUUCUGUAAACCGGACUGGUCUUGAGCUCAGUGAUUAGCUGGACUCUGCCUCCUGAGUGCUGGGAUUAAUGCUGUGUGCCACCACUGCCCAGUAGAGUUUUGUUCUUAACAUAGGGAUGGUGAGAUGGAAGUCUUUACCUUAUCCAAAGAACACAGAACAAGUGCCUUGGGGGUGGGCCAAGGAUUCCAGUCCAAGGGCUGGCCAGGUGGCUCAGCAAGGAGAACACUUUGCUUGCAAGCAAGCACUCACCUGGAACUUGAGUUCCAAGGGACCCAGCGCCUGCUUCUGGCCUCCAACGGCUCCUGCUUGCAUGUGGUAUGCAUAAGUUCAUGGAGAUACAUACCCAUAAUAAAUGAAUCUGAAGAACAAUUCCGGUCCAUACUAGGCUACAUAGUAGACCCUGUCUUAAGCAAAAGAAAGGACAGGGAAAGUAAGCAUCUUGUACAUUUGAAAUGUGGUAGGAGGGACAGCUCACUGGUGCUCAGAUGGGUCCUGAGCUCCACCUCCUAGCAGCUGCUGUGGGAAGAUAGCAGCCGUAAGGGCGGUCAGCAUGGGGCAGGUGCUGGGAAACAGCAGUUGCUGGACUUGUUUUUAUUGUAUUCAUUUUGUGUAUGUCACAGCGCGCGUGUCAGAGUCAGAGGACAGCUUGUGGGACCAUGGGAAGUUCCGGGAUUGAACUCAGGUCCUCGGGCUUGGCAGCAUCGCCAUCUACUGCAUCAUCCUGCAGUGGCGAGGGUUGAGAACCUGUUGUAAGGCCAUGUGGAAGUUUUGCAGCCUGGCUGGAAGAAAGUGGGCAUCAGCUGAACUUCCCAUCACAGAGGAGCAGGUCUCUCCCACCUCUCCUCUCUGAGGCUGCUGGGAUUCAGUGGGAAACUUCGCAUCUGGGCUCAUCCUGAUCCUGAUCCUAGGGGCUCCACGGGCCUUACCCCUUCGGCCAGUCUUAAACGGGUCUCAGCAAGAAGAAAUGUUAACAAAAGACAGAAGGCCUGACUUUGGGGGGAGAGAGUGAGGGGUUCCUCUGGAUUGCAGAGCAAGCACAUCGCACGGACCCCUGGCUCAGACCCCCACCCACCCCCC